rnacentral:rRNA from 1 species
GGGUUGUGAGGUUAAGCGACUAAGCGUACACGGUGGAUGCCCUGGCAGUCAGAGGCGAUGAAGGGCGUGCUAAUCUGCGAUAAGCGCCGGUAAGGUGAUAUGAACCGUUAUAACCGGCGAUACCCGAAUGGGGAAACCCAGUGUGACUCGUCACACUAUCAUUAACUGAAUCCAUAGGUUAAUGAGGCGAACCGGGGGAACUGAAACAUCUAAGUACCCCGAGGAAAAGAAAUCAACCGAGAUUCCCCCAGUAGCGGCGAGCGAACGGGGAGGAGCCCAGAGCCUGAAUCAGCAUGUGUGUUAGUGGAAGCGUCUGGAAAGGCGCGCGAUACAGGGUGACAGCCCCGUACACAAAAGCGCAUGUGCUGUGAGCUCGAUGAGUAGGGCGGGACACGUGGUAUCCUGUCUGAAUAUGGGGGGACCAUCCUCCAAGGCUAAAUACUCCUGACUGACCGAUAGUGAACCAGUACCGUGAGGGAAAGGCGAAAAGAACCCCGGCGAGGGGAGUGAAAAAGAACCUGAAACCGUGUACGUACAAGCAGUGGGAGCCCCACCACCAAAGCAUUUGCUGUACCGCGUUGACGGAGCGA